rnacentral:rRNA from 1 species
UACGAAGGGUGCGAGCGUUAAUCGGAAUUACUGGGCGUAAAGUGUGCGCAGGCGGCCGCGCAAGUCGAGUGUGAAAGCCCCGAGCUUAACUUGGGAAUUGCGCUCGAAACUACGUGGCUGGAGUGUGGCAGAGGAAGGUGGAAUUCCAGGUGUAGCGGUGAAAUGCGUAGAGAUCUGGAGGAACACCGAUGGCGAAGGCAGCCUUCUGGGCCAACACUGACGCUCAUGCACGAAAGCGUGGGGAGCAAACAGGAUUAGAUACCCCCGUAGUCC